AUGGGGGGACCCUGAUCCAGCCAUGCCGCGUGUGUGAAGAAGGCCUUAUGGUUGUAAAGCACUUUAAGCGAGGAGGAGGCUACUGAGACUAAUACUCUUGGAUAGUGGACGUUACUCGCAGAAUAAGCACCGGCUAACUCUGUGCCAGCAGCCGCGGUAAUACAGAGGGUGCGAGCGUUAAUCGGAUUUACUGGGCGUAAAGCGUGCGUAGGCGGCUUUUUAAGUCGGAUGUGAAAUCCCCGAGCUUAACUUGGGAAUUGCAUUCGAUACUGGGAAGCUAGAGUAUGGGAGAGGAUGGUAGAAUUCCAGGUGUAGCGGUGAAAUGCGUAGAGAUCUGGAGGAAUACCGAUGGCGAAGGCAGCCAUCUGGCCUAAUACUGACGCUGAGGUACGAAAGCAUGGGGAGCAAACAGGAUUAGAUACCCUGGUAGUCCAUGCCGUAAACGAUGUCUACUAGCCGUUGGGGCCUUUGAGGCUUUAGUGGCGCAGCUAACGCGAUAAGUAGACCGCCUGGGGAGUACGGUCGCAAGACUAAAACUCAAAUGAAUUGACGGGGAAUCACUAGUGAAUUCGCGGCCGCCUGCAGGUCGACCAUAUGGGAGAGCUCCCAACGCGUUGGAUGCAUAGCUUGAGUAUUCWWGGGGGNCCNCCUAAN
rnacentral:rRNA from 1 species